rnacentral:tRNA from 1 species
GGGGGCAUAACUCAGUUGGUAGAGUGUGUGCUUUGCAAGCACGAAGUCAUCGGUUCAAGUCCGAUUGCCUCCA